AUUUUGGUUAGUUUGAUUAAUAUGUGUCUUGGUUGUAUUCCUCCUUGGGUUUAUUUUAUAUGGUACUCAUUGUGCUUGCUGGAUUUGAGUGAGUGGUUCCUUUCCCAUGUUAGGGAAAUUUUCGGCUAUUAUCUCUUCGAAUAUUUUUUCUGUCCCCUUCUCUCUCUCUUCUCCUCUGGCACCCCUAUAAUACGGGUGUUGUUGCGUUUCAUGUUGUCCCAGAUUUCUCUGGGACUCUCUUCAUUUGAUUUCAGUCUUUUUUCUCUUUUCUGUUCUGCGUCCAUAAUUUCCACUAAUCUGUCCUCCACAUCGCUUAUUCGUUCUUCUGCCUCCUGUAUUCUGCUGUUAGCUGCCUCUAGUGAAUUUUUUAUUUCAGUGAUUGUAUUUUGCAUCUCUUCUAGUUUAAGUUUUAUAUCUUGUAUCUCUUUGGUCAGUGUUUCCUCUAAGUUAUCCUUCUUUGCCUCCAGUUUUUUUCCAAUGUCUUGCAUCAUCUUCAGCAUCAACAAUCUAAAGUCUUUUUCCUAGAGGCUGAGAAUCUCCUGAUCAGUUAGCUGAUUUUCUGGGGUUUUUCCUUUCUGCCUCAUCUGAGUUAUAGUUCUCUGUCUUUCCAUUUUUAUAGGUUUUUGGUGUGGUGACCUUUUUACAGAUACUAGAGUUGUAGCCUCUCUUACUUCUGAUGCCUGCCCCCCUUGUGGCUGAAGUCAAUAUGGGGGCUUGCUGUAGGGUUCCUGAUGGGAGGGGCUGAUGCCUGCCCACUGGUAGGUGGAGCUGAUUCCUAUCCCUCUGGUGGGUGGGGCUUAGUCUCUGGAUGGGAUUAGAGGCAGCUGUGUGCCUGAGGGGUCUUUAGGUAGCCUGUUUACUUAUGGGUGGGGCUGUGAUCCCACCUGGGUUGUUGUUUGCCCUGGGGCUUCUCAGCACUGACUGAUGGGUGGGGCCAGAUUUUUCCAAAAUGGUCACCUCCAGAGGAAGGCAUGCUGCUGAAUAUUCCCGAGAGCUUUGCCUUCAAUGUCCUUCCCUCACAACAAGCCACGUUCACCCCUGCUUUCCCAGGAUGUCCUCCAAGAACUGCAGUCAAGUUUGACCCAGAUUCCUAUGGAGAUCUCUCUGUGCCCUGGGACCCAGUGCACGUGAACAUCCGUGUGCACUGGGAUGGGGUCUCCAUUUCCCCCAGUCCUGUGGAGCUCCUGUGCACAAGCCCCACUGGCCUUCAAUGCCAGAUGCUCCAGGGGCUCUUUCUCCCAGUGCUGGAUCCCUGCACGUGAUGCUUUGAUGUGGGGCUCAGAACCAGUUAGUUUUCAGUCUGUGGAGCUUCCCAUCGGGGAGGUAUGGGGUUGUUUAUAUCGUGAAAUCGCCCCUCCUACCUCUUGCUGUGGCCUCCUCUUUGUCUUCUGGAGUAGGAUAUCUUUUUUGGUUUCCGGUCCAUUUGGGUGGAGAUUGCUCAGUCUUUAGUUGUGAAUUUUGUUGUUUUUAGGAGAGAAGUUGAGUUCCAGUACUUCUAUCCCACCAUCUUAAUCCUGUCUCCCCAAAUGCAAUUUUUAAAAAAUAAUUUAAUUAAUAGCCAAUCAGUGGAAUAAAUAAUCUCCACAACUCCAAGCCAGAAACAAGGUUAAAAGUGGAAAUGUUCAAAGCAUCUUGCUGUAAUAAAACCAGGUUGGUAUUCAUAUCUCUGUCAUGGAUUCUCAGUAUGUGGGGUCGACUGUGGGUUCCCUGAAAUCAGCCAUCAUUGAGUGGGGAAGCACCAAACUGGCUCAUCACAGAGACUACUGGACCUAUCAGAACCCUGCCUGGCUUUUGGGGAGGCUUGUGUUGCUCACACUAAGCCACUGCCUUCCUGAGACAGUGUCUAAGCACCUUGAUGAGUCUCAAAGAAAGAUGUGAGCACAUGUGUGCUUCAUUGGACACAGCCAGUGCUCCUGGGUCUGUCUGCUACCACCCUAAUAGUAAAAAUGGCAAAUAUUUUUCUUACUCAAAAUUUCCUAUUAUAUGCAUUUUUGUAUUGGAGACUUCAUGGUAUUAAAAGGUGCUGUUGGAUUACGUUACUUCUUGUGUGUUGAGCUGAGAAUAAAGCUUCUCUGACUACUUUUGAGCAUUUACAGUGCCUUAAAAAAUACAUUUGUUCAGCAGUUUCUCCCUCUACAUGAAUUUUGAUUUUAUGCUCAGUCUUUAUUGUUGUGAAUAUUUAUUCAUGUGUUUGACCCACCCAGCCCUGUGAGAAUAUUCUAGUCAGACUGUUAUUUUUAGACCUAAGCCUUGCAAUAGCACACCUUAGAGGUGCAGGCACAGCAGCUGGGUGCCUGCCCUCAGAAUCUUUAUGUAUAAUUGCAUUGUAGUAAGUAAUACAUAAUGCCUGGAGUGGAGAUAAUAUAAUACUGUAAUUACUUUUGUAUUUAGGUUAAGUUUAGAUGCUCUUUUUCUUGUAUUUGACUAUUUUAUAUUUGACAAUGUUACUGGACAUUUUCCGUUGUUUCUUUUUUUUUGGUCUAACUUUUAUCAAAAAUUUUUUCUUAUAGGAGAGGUAAAAUAAUAACAUUUGAAACCAAAAGUAUAUUUUUGGUUAUAAACAGAAAAUUAAAAAUACCAUUUGAUGCUGGAGAGGGUAUGGAGAAAAGGGGACUUUCCUACAUGGUUGGUUGGAAUAAGAAUUGGUACAGCCACUAUGAAAAUAGUAUGGAGGUUCCUCAAAAAACUGAAAAUAGAAUUGCCAUAUGAUCCAGCAAUCCCAUUCCUGGGCAUAUAUGUAGAUAAAACUAUAACUCAAAAAGAUAGGUGCACUCCUGUGUUUAUAGCAGCACUAUUUACAGUAGCCAAGACAUGGAAACAACGUAAAUGCUUGUGGACAGAUGAAUGAAUACAAAAGAUGUUGUGUGCAUGUAUAAUGGAAUACUACUCAGCCAUAAAGAGAAAUGAAAUAAUGCCACUUGCAGCAACAUGGAUGGUCAUGCUAAAUGAAGUAAUUCAGACAGAGAAAGGCAAAUACCAUAUGAUUUCACUUAAAUGUGGAAUCUAAAAUAUGACACAAUUGAACCUAUUUAUAGAACAGAAACAAACUGACAGAUGUAGAGAACUGACUUGUGUUUUCCGAUGUAAGGGCUGGAUGAGGGAUGGAUUGGGAGUUUGGGAUUAGAAGAUGCAAACUGUUAUAUACGUGUGUGUGUGCUUAUGUGCAUGUAUAUAUACAUACAUGUAUAUAUACAUAUAUAUAUCUGAAUCACUUUGCUGUACACCAGAAACUGACACACACUGUAUGUUAACUACAAUAAAAAAAUUUUAAUACAAUUUGAUGAUGGAUGUGAUGAGAAUGAUUAGGCUGAAUAAAAUAUGAUAAAGUGUAGCAUAAGCUAACUUUACAACUAAUGUUAAAUACUUUGAAAACAGACUAGUGAGAGCAUUUAAAAAAAAAAAAAAAAAAAAAAAAGCCUUAGGUUGUAAUGUGAAUUACAGUUCACACUGCCCUUAGAUUUAGCCAAGAGGGGCGUCUUUUGUGGUUCCCAUGCUUUAGAGGGUCCUAUUGUUGUAUCCCUCUCCAUGGAGCAAACAAGUCCUUGGAAUCAAAGAGUUAAACCCAGCUGAUGCCCGCAAUCUCUUUCAGACUGUCCUUUAGGUAUUCAGGUUCCCAGAAUUGCCUGCCCUCAAGCACACUUCUGUGAUCUGUUUGGGGACCUUACCUGGAUCCAUCCAUUUGAAGCAGUUCUAUACUGUUGAUGUGUAUACCCAUAGGACUGAGGGAUGGCCCAGGGGUGACUAUUGGGUGACUGCAGAGCUUUGACGUGCAGUCAGGUGACCAUACACACCCAUGAAAAGCCCCUUGGGUGUGGAAGGAGGCAGUGAUGGGCGGAGGAGGAGGUUGGACUGCAGAACGUGUUGUUCUCAUGCCACUGUGUGCCAGAGCAGAACUCUGAGGAGUCCAGAAUCCUAAGUUCAGACUGGCUAUCCAGAUCCUUAUAAAAGUGUAUUUGGCAAGGUAAGAAAUAGAAAGUAUUUUAUUUAAAAACUCAUUAUCAUUUUCAAUAACUUUAAAAUAUUUAGAAAUACAAUGUUUGGGCCUUCCUUUAUAUUCUUGUUCCAGGUCCUAUAAAUGUCAAAGGUGUGCCUGUAUAUGAUUAAAUUCAAAUCAUUCUUACAACAAUCCUAUAGGGGGGUACUGUCAUUUUCUUUACUUUGUAGAAGAAGAAACUGAGGCACAAAAAAGAUUAAACAACCACCUAAGGCCACACAGCUAGUGAGCCAGGCAUGGAAUGGCUUUGACUUCCUAAAGUACCUUCUCUUAACCACAAUAGUAUGCUGAUUCCUUAAAAAAUGUGUCAACAAUUCUCACAGAAAAUUCCUGGAUGACAAGAAAGUAAAUGCUAGUAAUUCAUUGGGAUUCACCUUCUAUGUAAUAAAAAUUGCCUAAAUCUGUGAUAUAUUUUAUGUUGUUAAAUCAGUAAAUAUUAUUAUAUUUCCUGCAGUUACAAUGUAAUUUUGAGAGAAAAUAUUCAGAGCAUAAAAUUAGGGCUCUUAACUUCUUUUUAUCAUUUACUGGACAGUUUAACAUUAUGUAUAUACACAUAUAUAUAUAUGUGCUUAUGUCUUUCAAAAGAUAUAACAAUGCUUAUGCCUUUUGAAACUGUAUUGGAUAAUUCCAUAUAAAUUCUUGAUUUAUUAGGCAUAAUCUUAAAUUGAAGAUCUUUCAGUUUUCUAUAACAAAAUUGUCAAUAAAUUCCAGGAAUUUCCCUUUUCAUGCUAAUUUGAUAAAUGCUUUGUGGCAAGGUACUGAAGUAUUUCAAAUGAGAACAGUAUCUUUUUUUGCAUAUCUUCUAAUGAAGUAAAUCCUUUGGGUAACUACUCCUUAAACAAGGUUGCAUCAUCUUGCAUAUCCUACCAAUACCUUUAAAGAGCUGAGCUGAUUUAAUUUGGCAAAGCUUUUCUUACAGCUGCCAGUAGUGUCAGAAAAAAAAUUGAAACACCUGAAACUAACAUUAAAACAAAAUAAAAAUGACUGUUUCAAGACAUUGAACAGAUAUAUGACAGAUAAAUACUAAAGUAUCUGAAAGUUUAAAAAUAUACCUUGACCAUUUCAUGGUAUUACAAAUAUAUUUAAACUUUAUUUCUUGCCUAAUAGCAAAUAUCUUGCCCCACCAAAGAAUUUGUCUACUCUCUUCAAAUUGGGUACUUAGACUAGAGAAAUAUGAAUUUAUAAGCCUUGUAAUACGACUUAGAAACAAACUUUACUUUCAAAUGUUCUUUUAAGCUUUGAAUCUAUUUAGUUGAAUAAUAUGUCUGUGUGAUUCAGAAUUUUCUUGAUACAGUGUAACUAAGGCAAAACAUAGAAAUAGAUGUUGGGGUUGUAACUGCAGCAAUAACUGUUCUCAUUGAUUGAUAUGAUAAUGUGUAAGUUAUAAAUUUGAAACUUUUAUCAUAUUGUAUUUAUAAAAUAUUUUUAUGUUAUUUAUGAGUUCUCAGUGGAGAUUUUUCACUAAAAAUAUGGCUUUGCUGUUCAAAUAUUGGUUGAGAAAAUAGACACCAAAGAGAGGAUAUGCAGAUGUUUAGGCAGGAACUGCUGAGGGCCAGAAGCAGAGUCAAGGGGUAGGAAUAGGAAGGAAAGGAAGUUGAAGCAUAGGAGCCUGAUGAGGUCCCCGCAUAAUUGCCUGUCUAGGAAACAUGCCCCGUGUAACUCUCUUCCUGCAGCUAUCUAUUGAUCUGUCAUAAUUUACCCAGAGAAGAUUAGACAAUCACUAAAGGGAAUCACCACUUUUAUUCUAAGACCCAGUACUGUACAUAAUGUGUAAAAUCCCUUUCUUCUAGGCUGGGUGACCAUUUGAACAUGUAGAAUUACAAAAAGAAAACAAUCAGAUCCAUCAUUUCUAGAUGAAUGAUUAUGAUAACUCUAUCACGCCUUCCUUCCUCUUUAUUCACACUUGUUUUUUUGUUAGCA
rnacentral:lncRNA from 1 species